GACGAACGCUGGCGGCGUGCCUAAUACAUGCAAGUUGAGCGCUGAAGGUUGGUACUUGUACCAACUGGAUGAGCAGCGAACGGGUGAGUAACGCGUGGGGAAUCUGCCUUUGAGCGGGGGACAACAUUUGGAAACGAAUGCUAAUACCGCAUAAAAACUUUAAACACAAGUUUUAAGUUUGAAAGAUGCAAUUGCAUCACUCAAAGAUGAUCCCGCGUUGUAUUAGCUAGUUGGUGAGGUAAAGGCUCACCAAGGCGAUGAUACAUAGCCGACCUGAGAGGGUGAUCGGCCACAUUGGGACUGAGACACGGCCCAAACUCCUACGGGAGGCAGCAGUAGGGAAUCUUCGGCAAUGGACGAAAGUCUGACCGAGCAACGCCGCGUGAGUGAAGAAGGGUUUCGGAUCGUAAAACUCUGUUGGUAGAGAAGAACGUUGGUGAGAGUGGAAAGCUCACCAAGUGACGGUAACUACCCAGAAAGGGACGGCUAACUACGUG
rnacentral:rRNA from 1 species